GGAAUCUUCCACAAUGGACGAAAGUCUGAUGGAGCAACGCCGCGUGAGUGAUGAAGGCUUUAGGGUCGUAAAACUCUGUUGUUGGAGAAGAACGUGUGUGAGAGUAACUGCUCAUGCAGUGACGGUAUCCAACCAGAAAGCCACGGCUAACUACGUGCCAGCAGCCGCGGUAAUACGUAGGUGGCAAGCGUUGUCCGGAUUUAUUGGGCGUAAAGCGAGCGCAGGCGGUUUCUUAAGUCUGAUGUGAAAGCCCCCGGCUCAACCGGGGAGGGUCAUUGGAAACUGGGAGACUUGAGUGCAGAAGAGGAGAGUGGAAUUCCAUGUGUAGCGGUGAAAUGCGUAGAUAUAUGGAAGAACACCAGUGGCGAAGGCGGCUGUCUGGUCUGUAACUGACGCUGAGGCUCGAAAGCAUGGGUAGCGAACA
rnacentral:rRNA from 1 species